rnacentral:rRNA from 1 species
UUCCAGACUCCUACGGGAGGCAGCAGUGGGGAAUAUUGCACAAUGGGGGAAGCCCUGAUGCAGCGACGCCGCGUGAGUGAAGAAGUAUUUCGGUAUGUAAAGCUCUAUCAGCAGGAAAGAAAAUGACGGUACCUGACUAAGAAGCCCCGGCUAACUACGUGCCAGCAGCCGCGGUAAUACGUAGGGGGCAAGCGUUAUCCGGAUUUACUGGGUGUAAAGGGGGCGCAGACGGCAGCGCAAGCCAGGAGUGAAAGCCCGGGGCCCAACCCCGGGACUGCUCUUGGAACUGCGCGGCUGGAGUGCAGGAGGGGCAGGCGGAAUUCCUGGUGUAGCGGUGAAAUGCGUAGAUAUCAGGAGGAACACCGGUGGCGAAGGCGGCCUGCUGGACUGCGACUGACGUUGAGGCCCGAAAGCGUGGGGAGCAAACAGGAUUAGAUACCCCGGUA